AUAUAGGUAUGCCGAAUAACUUUUAUAUUUCUUUAUUCUCCCUCGUUCGUUUUAAUAAAUUCUGAUAUGCCGAGUAAAAAUUAUCUUAUGAUCCAUCAUUACGACCACGAAGACGUUGGCAAUGUAAUACAUAAUAUAUAUAUAAAAAAAUACGAUCCGUCUUUUUCUCCCCGUAAACUGACAAAUGCACAUAUUUUACAUCGUUCUACACGGGUCGUAUAAAACUACGUCGUCUUCGUCGUAUUGUUUCGUUCAAAUAUAUAAACACGAGCGGUGUAGGUCAAAAUCUUAAAACUUUUACCGCGACCGUCGUACAAUAGUGAAACCUAAACAUCGAACACACGCAUAUAAAUUGGCCAAAGAAAAAUAAAAUCAUGUAAAAAAAUACCGAAAUUACUCCGGAAUUUUUUUCCUCCUCUAAAUACAACGUACGGGGAACCGCCGAGUUCGAAAUA